rnacentral:tRNA from 1 species
GAGGGUAGAGCUCAGUGGUGGAGUGCGUGCUCCAAGUAUGCACAAGGUCCUGGGUUCAAUCCCCAGUACCUCCA